GUGGGGAAUAUUGGACAAUGGGCGAAAGCCUGAUCCAGCCAUGCCGCGUGUGUGAAGAAGGUCUUCGGAUUGUAAAGCACUUUAAGUUGGGAGGAAGGGCAGUAAGUUAAUACCUUGCUGUUUUGACGUUACCGACAGAAUAAGCACCGGCUAACUUCGUGCCAGCAGCCGCGGUAAUACGAAGGGUGCAAGCGUUAAUCGGAAUUACUGGGCGUAAAGCGCGCGUAGGUGGUUUUGUAAGUUGGAGGUGAAAUCCCCGGGCUCAACCUGGGAACUGCCUCCAAAACUGCAUGACUAGAGUACGGUAGAGGGUAGUGGAAUUUCCUGUGUAGCGGUGAAAUGCGUAGAUAUAGGAAGGAACACCAGUGGCGAAGGCGGCCAUCUGGACCAGCACUGACACUGAGGCACGAAAGCGUGGGGAGCAAACAGGAUUAGAAACCCCUGUAGUCC
rnacentral:rRNA from 1 species